CGCAGCCGCGGUAAUUCCAGCUCCAAUAGCGUAUAUUAAAGUUGUUGCAGUUAAAAAGCUCGUAGUUGAAUUUCGGGAUCAAUAUGUUGGUCGUGCCUUGGUACGUACUGGCGUCAUUGGUUUCUACCUUCUGAAGAACCUCGAUGUCAUUAAUUUGGUGUCUUGGGGAAUCAGGACUGUUACUUUGAAAAAAUUAGAGUGUUUAAAGCAAGCUCACGCUUGAAUACAUUAGCAUGGAAUAAUGAAAUAGGACGUUUGAUUCUAUUUUGUUGGUUUCUAGGAUCGACGUAAUGAUUAAUAGGGAUAGUUGGGGGCAUUAGUAUUCAAUUGUCAGAGGUGAAAUUCUUGGAUUUAUCGAAGACUAACUACUGCGAAAGCAUUUGCCAAGGAUGUUUUCAUUAAUCAAGAACGAAAGUUAGGGGAUCGAAGACGAUCAGGUACCGUCGUAGUCUUAACCAUAAACUAUGCCGACUAGGGAUCGGAUGAUGUUAAUUUUUUAAUGACUCAUUCGGCGCCUUAC
rnacentral:misc_RNA from 1 species